rnacentral:rRNA from 1 species
GACGAACGCUGGCGGCGUGCUUAACACAUGCAAGUCGAACGGAAAGGCCUCUUUCGGGGGGUACACGAGAGGAGAACGGGAGAGUAACACGUGAGUAACCUGCCCUUGACGUUUGGAUAACUUCAGGAAACUGGGGCUAAUACCGGAUAGGAGCUCCUGCUGCAUGGUGGGGGUUGGAAAGUUUCGGCGGUUGGGGAUGGACUCGCGGCUUAUCAGCUUGUUGGUGGGGUAGUGGCUUACCAAGGCUUUGACGGGUAGCCGGCCUGAGCGGGUGACCGGCCACAUUGGGACUGAGAUACGGCCCAGACUCCUACGGGAGGCAGCAGUGGGGAAUAUUGCACAAUGGGUGGAAGCCUGAUGCAGCAACGCCGUGUGCGGGAUGACGGCCUUCGGGUUGUAAACCGCUUUCGCUCAUGACGAAGCUUUGUGUGACGGUAGUGGGUAAAGAAGCACCGGCUAACUACGUG